rnacentral:rRNA from 1 species
AUUGAACGCUGGCGGCAGGCCUAACACAUGCAAGUCGAACGAGUGGCGGACGGGUGAGUAAUGUCUGGGAAACUGCCUGAUGGAGGGGGAUAACUACUGGAAACGGUAGCUAAUACCGCAUACCAUCGGAUGUGCCCAGAUGGGAUUAGCUAGUCGGUGGGGUAAAGGCUCACCUAGGCGACGAUCCCUAGCUGGUUUGAGAGUAUGACCAGCCAAACUGGAACGUGGAGACGGUCCAUCGGCCUACGGGAGGAAGCAGUGGGGCAGAUUGGGCAAUGGGCGCAAGCCUGAUGCACCCAGGCCGCGUGGAUGAAGAAGGCCUGCGGGUUGUAAAGUACUUUCAGCGGGGAGGCGGUACCCGCAGAAGAAGCCCCGGCUAACUACGUGCCAGCAGCCGCGGUAAUUC